GAUGAACGCUGGCGGCGUGCCUAAUACAUGCAAGUCGAGCGAAUGGAUUAAGAGCUUGCUCUUAUGAAGUUAGCGGCGGACGGGUGAGUAACACGUGGGUAACCUGCCCAUAAGACUGGGAUAACUCCGGGAAACCGGGGCUAAUACCGGAUAACAUUUUGAACCGCAUGGUUCGAAAUUGAAAGGCGGCUUCGGCUGUCACCUAUGGAUGGACCCGCGUCGCAUUAGCUAGUUGGUGAGGUAACGGCUCACCAAGGCAACGAUGCGUAGCCGACCUGGGAGGGUGAUCGGCCACACUGGGACUGAGACACGGCCCAGACUCCUACGGGAGGCAGCAGUAGGGAAUCUUCCGCAAUGGACGAAAGUCUGACGGAGCAACGCCGCAUGAGUGAUGAAGGCUUUCGGGUCGUAAAACUCUGUUGUUAGGGAAGAACAAGUGCUAGUUGAAUAAGCUGGCACCUUGACGGUACCUAACCAGAAAGCCACGGCUAACUACGUGCCAGCAGCCGCCGUAA
rnacentral:rRNA from 1 species